AAAAAAAAAAAUAGGGGGUCUAAUCAAUUUGAGAGGAUUAGUUAUGUAAACAAACACCAUAUAGUAAUGGCGUUCAAGAUGGCGGUUCAAUUAUUUGCCCAAAAUAGCCACGCUAAAUUUCAAGGAUUUCAUCGCAAUCGGCUUUCUGUUUAAGUUGGGGUUUCAUUAAAUAAUUGUUAAAUGUUCAUUGUUAUAAUUAUUAAUUGUUUACACGAAAUAUUUUAUGAAUAAUUUAAUAAAUUUUAAUAAAAUCACGUGACCCCAGCGAAGUCUACGAUUGGUCAGUGGAUAGCGCGGACAUUACAGAGACGAUUUGAAAAUUGACCGAGAUGAAAACCUCAAAAAGAAAUCGGAGAAUAAUAGCAAAAUUCUUGUCCCCUGUAGUCAUUCUAAACUUGGGGGAAAAGCAUAAAGACUACAACUGACAAAUUGAAGGGAAUGGCAUGAAAGAAGAAAAAAGGAAUUGCGUGGUACAUUCAAAUGGAGGAUCAGUUUUUAUGAGUCCAGAUGAAAAUCGUAACUGUACAGCAAUGAGGAUUUACCCCGGUAAAAGGUCUAUUACUGUGCAGAAAAUUCUGUGGUGCAAUGGGUAGGAACUCUAUGAAAGUAAUGAAGAUUACAUGAAUUGCACAUGUUGCAAGUGAAUAAUGUGUGGCAAAAAAGGACUUGAAAUGGAGUAUACUUUCAGUACCUUUACAGUGUCUUUGUGCAUUUAAAUUACAUUAAUUAUGUUUUGUAUAUGCUGAAAAGGUGUGUUUAUUUUUUUUCUUGCAAAGAAUGAUAUUAAAUAUCAUUAUUUUGUUAAAGGUAACAACAUUAAUUUUUUUAAAAUAUAGAUUCAAGUCAUAUAUAGAUUCUGUUUGUAGAGAGGAUUUAAAGAGAUAUUUUUCAUAGAUAUUUUCAUGUAGCAUCAUGCAAUAAAUUU